GCCCGGCUAGCUCAAUCGGUAGAGCGUGAGACUCUUAUGGAGAUAUUCCAGAAUCUCACGAGAUCAUCUCAAGGUUGUGGGUUCGUACCCCACGUCGGGCU